CUGCUAUCGGGGUUCGAUUAAGCCAUGCGAGUCGAGAGGUGCUACAAGACCUCGGCGCGCUCAGUAACACGUGGAUAACCUACCCUCAGGUGGGGGAUAACCCCGGGAAACUGGGGAUAAUACCCCAUAGACCAGGGACGCUGGAAUGCCCCCUGAUCGAAAGGUCCGCCGCCUGAGGAUGGGUCUGCGGCCGAUUAGGUUGUUGUUGGGGUAACGGCCCAACAAUUUGAUCGGUACGGGUUGUGAGAGCAAGAGCCCGGAGAUGGAUUCUGAGACACAAAUCCAGGCCCUACGGGGCGCAGCAGGCGCGAAAACCUUUACAAUGCGAGAAAUCGUGAUAAGGGAACCCCGAGUGCCCGUAAAUUCGGGCUGUCCAUCAGCGUAAAAAACUGGUGAAGAAAGGGCCGGGCAAGACCGGUGCCAGCCGCCGCGGUAAUACCGGCGGCUCGAGUGGUGGCCACUAUUACUGGGCUUAAAGCGUCCGUAGCUGGAUUGUUAAGUCUCUUGGGAAAUCCGCCGGCUUAACCGGCGGGCGUUCAGGAGAAACUGGCAAUCUAGGGACCGGGAGA
rnacentral:rRNA from 1 species